rnacentral:rRNA from 1 species
UACAGAGGUCCCGAGCGUUGUUCGGAUUCACUGGGCGUAAAGGGUGCGUAGGUGGCGAGGUAAGUCGGAUGUGAAAGCUCGGAGCUCAACUCCGAAAUGGCAUUGGAAACUACCUUGCUCGAGGGUUGGAGGGGGGACUGGAAUACUUGGUGUAGCAGUGAAAUGCGUAGAUAUCAAGUGGAACACCAGUGGCGAAGGCGAGUCCCUGGACAACUCCUGACACUGAGGCACGAAAGCUAGGGGGAGCAAACAGG